UCGCCAAAGAUGUGGUAUUAGCGACCAACGCCCUUCUAAGGCGUGGGUCAAAGGUUCGAAUCCUUUAGGGCGUGCCA
rnacentral:tRNA from 1 species